ACAAGGUUUCCGUAGGUGAACCUGCGGGAAGGAUCAUUAUCAUACAACGGAGGUGCAAGGGCUGUCGCUGACCUUCAAAGGUUGUGCACGCCCAAGUGCUUUCACACAAUCCAUCUCACCCCUUUUGUGCAUCACCGCGUGGGUCCCCUUUCGUGGGUGGGCUUGCGUUUUCACAUAAAACUUGAUACAGUAUAGAAUGUUUUUUUUUGCAGUUACAUGCAAUCAAUACAACUUUCAACAACGGAUCUCUUGGCUCUCGCAUCGAUGAAGAACGCAGCGAAAUGCGAUACGUAAUGUGAAUUGCAGAAUUCAGUGAAUCAUCGAAUCUUUGAACGCACCUUGCGCCCCUUGGCAUUCCGAGGGGCACACCCGUUUGAGUGUCGUGAAAUUCUCAAAACCCUUUUCUUUCUGGAAAAGGAUUUUUGGACUUGGAGGUUCCAUGCUUGCCUUCUACUUUUGAAAGCGAGCUCCUCUCAAAUAAAUUAGUGGGGUCCACUUUGCUGAUCCUUGACGUGAUAAGAUGUUUCUACGUUUUGGAUUUAGUAUUG
rnacentral:rRNA from 1 species